GCGGGACACCUGGCCUUCAGUGAUAGUUCUGCCAUUUGCCAAUUGCUUUGAAGUCUCGUUUCUUCAUUUCUAAAAUUGGGCUGUUAAUAACAUGCUCAAAGUGUUGCAAAGACGAAGUGAGACCAUAUCAUGAGAGUGCUGGCCUCAUAGAGAGAGAGAUGGUGUCUUUCUUAAUUUCCUGUGCCUUGUCAAUCAUAGGCGCUUAAUAUUUGACCCAUUUGACUAUGACUCAAGGACUCUGGCAGGCUGAGUUGAGCUCCUUCCCACAUUCCAGGCCAUUCCCACCCUAUCCAAGUGCAUCAACGACCUCCAGGGGGCCAGAGAUGCAGAACCUGAAGCCCAGAGCAGGGACAUUAUU